ensembl:snRNA U6 U6 spliceosomal RNA
GUGUUCGCUUUGGCAGCACACAUAUAUACCAAAAUUGGAACGAUACAGAGAACGUUAGUAUGACCCUUGUGCAAGGAUGUUCCAUAUAUGUAUUCUUAUUUAUUUUU